rnacentral:rRNA from 1 species
GCCUACGGGGGCAGCAGUAGGGAAUAUUGCUCAAUGGGGGAAACCCUGAAGCAGCAACGCCGCGUGGAGGAUGAAGGUUUUCGGAUUGUAAACUCCUUUUGUUAGAGAAGAUAAUGACGGUAUCUAACGAAUAAGCGCCGGCUAACUCCGUGCCAGCAGCCGCGGUAAUACGGAGGGUGCAAGCGUUACUCGGAAUCACUGGGCGUAAAGAGCGCGUAGGCGGGAUAGCAAGUCAGAUGUGAAAUCCUAUGGCUUAACCAUAGAACUGCAUUUGAAACUGUUAUUCUAGAGUAUGGGAGAGGUAG